GGUAUGAUGGCUGAGGGUUUAAGCGGUGGAUUGUAGCCCCAUGAAGAGAGGUUCAAAUCCUCUUCGUACCG
rnacentral:tRNA from 1 species